CCAAACUUCCAAUCCCGCUCCCCUCCCCACCCGUAUCGGCGCCGCCACCCACCACUCAGCAGGACCUCGCCGCCGGCCAUGGCCUCCGCUCUCUCCCCUCAUCCCAGGACAGGACAAGACAGGAGGGAGGGAGAUCCAUAUACGCCGCCACGCACCGGCAGACGCCGACAUGGAAGGUGUUUCGUGUGCUUUCUUCUUCCCUUCCCGGGACACUGCUGCUCCGACGCCGUGGACAAAUGUGCUCCGUGUGCUUCCUUCUUCCCUUCUCGGGACACCGCUGCUCCAAUGCCAUGGACAAAAUAUGAGAGAUGAGUGGAGUACCAUACCGCAAUCCAAUGAGCGAAUCGAGGCCAGCUCAGCCCCGUGAGCAAGCAAGAGGCUGCAGCUAUAAGAGAAUGGACACUCGCCUAAGGAUUCUCCCUUAAGGAGAAGAUGGAGCUCUGUGAGCAGUGUCUAUUUUUUGUUGGCCAACGAUGUUCUUGAGAGGAUGCACUCCCGUGUCACUGGCAAGCGGCAUAUUGGUGAUGGUCUGGUUAGGGAUUUGUCGUUGAAUAACUGGCUGCGAGGGAAGCAGAGCAACCACGGGAUAUGCCCCAAGAUCCACGAUCCAGCCCUCAAGCAAAGGUUAUGCCGCAUGUCUCCUGUGCUUCUUCUCCGCCUCUUGCCACAAUGCACUUGAUGAGCCCGAGUCAGAGGUGCGCCAUGAGGAAGGUGUGCUGGACUGCAGGCCACCUGCCCUUGUCGCCGCCCUCGCUGCCCACAGGUCUGACAGUGCCUGCCAUUUAGAAGCUCCGCCUCGUUGCUUGACUCGGCCGCUAGAAGCUCAUCGCUAUCAACCUAGCCGACCCCUGAUUUCGCAGCCUGGGCCUUGGCUCUGGAGUUGUAGGGGCGGACAAUUACCAAGUCGACAAGAUGAACCUAUGACACAAGUACUAAGGAGGUAAUUCUGGUAUUCUUGUUAUGCAGCCUUCUUCUAGUGACCUUUUGGCUGAUUGUUUGAAAAUGCAAUGUCAAGUUAAGAAACUUCCUGCUGAUUGUUUGAAGUAAUUUUGGUCUUAUUAUGCAGCCUUCUUCUAUGGAAGAUGUUUUCUUUAGGACGACAUCUGCUUUGCUUAAAUUGCCGACCUUUUUAGAUUCGUAAAGUUUGACUGUAAUAAAAUUUGGCGUCCUACUGCUGGCCCUACAUCCAGUAAGGAUAGUUCUACUGUAUUGUGGAAAACGUAGUGGAAAACGAAAAAAUCGCCGUAAGAUUACCCAAGAACAAUAUGAAGAUGCAUAUAAGGUUUGGAUCAACGAUCGUUACCGAUUUCGGAGUGUAGCGGAAGUAGACGAGUCGGUGUAGAUCGUACUUGGAGUCCCUUGUCCCGUAGAUGAAUGGCCCCGUGAACCGCCCAUGAAGGAUUCCUCGAACAAAAGACUGAAAGCACGACCUCUCUACUUGAUUGCAAGCGUACGAUCUUCAGGAUUCGGCAGCGCUUUGCCGUCCAGAACUAAUCGUCGCCAA